CUACAUUUGGUGGUCCAUGGAUGUUCUAUAGAUUCUUUUGUGCCAUUUUUUCAUACCCAGCAUUUAAGCAUGCCCUACCAUGUCUUCUCUAGUUCUCAAGCCUCAGUAUCUGGGCCUCCAGUACAAACUGGUUGUACUGUGUUUUAAAAUUCCACUGUGUAAGACAAUUCUACUGCAUAUAACCACUUUCUACACUUUAUUUAAUUUCACAAAGUAUUGUG